UGGGGGAUAUUGCGCAAUGGGGGCAACCCUGACGCAGCAACGCCGCGUGAAGGAUGAAGGUUUUCGGAUUGUAAACUUCUUUUAUUAAGGACGAAAAAUGACGGUACUUAAUGAAUAAGCUCCGGCUAACUACGUGCCAGCAGCCGCGGUAAUACGUAGGGAGCAAGCGUUGUCCGGAUUUACUGGGUGUAAAGGGUGCGUAGGCGGCUUUGCAAGUCAGAUGUGAAAUCUAUGGGCUCAACCCAUAAACUGCAUUUGAAACUGUAGAGCUUGAGUGAAGUAGAGGCAGGCGGAAUUCCCCGUGUAGCGGUGAAAUGCGUAGAGAUGGGGAGGAAUACCAGUGGCGAAGGCGGCCUGCUGGGCUUUAACUGACGCUGAGGCACGAAAGCGUGGGUAGCAAACAGGAUUAGAUACCCUGGUAGUCCACGCUGUAAACGAUGAUUACUAGGUGUGGGGGGUCUGACCCCUUCCGUGCCGGAGUUAACACAAUAAGUAAUCCACCUGGGGAGUACGGCCGCAAGGUUGAAACUCAAAGGAAUUGACGGGGGCCCGCACAAGCAGUGGAGUAUGUGGUUUAAUUCGAAGCAACGCGAAGAACCUUACCAGGUCUUGACAUCCAACUAACGAAGUAGAGAUACAUUAGGUGCCCUUCGGGGAAAGUUGAGACAGGUGGUGCAUGGUUGUCGUCAGCUCGUGUCGUGAGAUGUUGGGUUAAGUCCCGCAACGAGCGCAACCCUUGCUAUUAGUUGCUACGCAAGAGCACUCUAAUAGGACUGCCGUUGACAAAACGGAGGAAGGUGGGGACGACGUCAAAUCAUCAUGCCCCUUAUGACCUGGGCUACACACGUACUACAAUGGAUGUUAACAGAGGGAAGCAAGACAGCGAUGUGGAGCAAACCCCUAAAAACAUUCUCAGUUCAGAUUGCAGGCUGCAACCCGCCUGCAUGAAGAUGGAAUUGCUAGUAAUCGCGGAUCAGCAUGCCGCGGUGAAUACGUUCCC
rnacentral:rRNA from 2 species